CGGACGGGUGAGUAAUGUCUGGGAAACUGCCUGAUGGAGGGGGAUAACUACUGGAAACGGUAGCUAAUACCGCAUAACGUCGCAAGACCAAAGAGGGGGACCUUCGGGCCUCUUGCCAUCAGAUGUGCCCAGAUGGGAUUAGCUAGUAGGUGGGGUAACGGCUCACCUAGGCACGAUCCCUAGCUGGUCUGAGAGGAUGACCAGCCACACUGGAACUGAGACACGGUCCAG
rnacentral:rRNA from 1 species